GGGGAAUUUUCCGCAAUGGGCGCAAGCCUGACGGAGCAAUACCGCGUGAGGGAAGAAGGCUCUUGGGUUGUAAACCUCUUUUCUCAGGGAAGAAGUUCUGACGGUACCUGAGGAAUCAGCAUCGGCUAACUCCGUGCCAGCAGCCGCGGUAAUACGGAGGAUGCAAGCGUUAUCCGGAAUUAUUGGGCGUAAAGAGUCCGUAGGUGGUCAAAUAAGUCUGCUGUCAAAGACCGGGGCUUAACUCCGGAAAGGCAGUGGAAACUGUGUGACUAGAGACCGGGAGGGGUAGAGGGAAUUCCCAGUGUAGCGGUGAAAUGCGUAGAGAUUGGGAAGAACACCGGUGGCGAAGGCGCUCUACUGGACCGGAACUGACACUGAGGGACGAAAGCUAGGGGAGCGAAAGGGAUUAGAUACCCCUGUAGUC
rnacentral:rRNA from 1 species